rfam:Youngiibacter fragilis 232.1 contig_66, whole genome shotgun sequence.
UCCAUCGCGAGGUGGAAUCUGAAGGAAGCCGGAUGUCAGGGCGAGGAGUUCUGGCGGGCAAAUUUUCGGGCCGACGAACAGAAAUCUUAUAUAAGGCCGGAUUGGGACGGACGACUCUGCAACACAAGAGAAAG